ensembl:lncRNA
UUUUUUUUAGGACAGUGUCACUCUAUCACCCAGGCCGAGCGCAGUGGCGCGAUCUCAGCUCACUGCAACCUCCACCUCCUGUGUUCAAGUGAUUCUCCUGCCUCAGCCUCCAAGUAGCUGGGAUUACAGGUGUGCCACUAUGCCCAGCUAGGUCAUGACAUUCUUAAGCAGAAGUCUUGCAACAUUUUGACUGAAACUGGUUUGAAUCUUAAGAAUAAACAAUGUGUCAAAUUUAUUCAUGGUUCAUGACAAACCUCUAGUUAGCACUGAAAGAAAAUUUCAGGACAAUGUAAAUUGUGCAACUAAUUAUCCUACAUGGCCUACUUUACUUUGAAAAUUAUGCUCAUGAGGGACUCUAUUUCAGAGAACAUCAGUGUGUAUCAGAUAAAAGGUAAAUCUAUGUUGCCAUUUAAUUUGUGCUAGACCUCAAAACUGUGAUCUUCUAUAUUUUACAAAACCUUGAAAUUCACCUCUGCAGGGAUUCUUCUGUGAUUUUAGGUUGGAUAUAAUUAUAAACAAAUUUUAGAGCAACUGAGUACUUAAUAAGAAAGCUAACCUUGGAGAGAAGCUGCACUAAAACUACAAAACAACUGUGAAGACAGGGAGUAACAAAAGAGAGAAACAAAGAAGAGAGAAGAGAGAAACAAAAGAACAAUUUUGUGGUAAUUUGUUUGAAUAAAACUAGCAGAAAAAAAUGGCCUUAUCAGUUGCUCAAACCCUCAUGAAUUUACAAACUGAGAUAAUUGUUUAUACUUGUUAAAUAGAAUACAUGUGUAUAUGUAAAUCAAACUUUUCUGCCUGGAUUUGCCUAAUGUUAAUAACUAUCUAUAAAUGGUUCUAGCAUAAAAAGAAGCUUGUAACUGGUAAUUAAAAUCUCAAAAUUGAAGACCAUAAACUAAAGACAUCUUAUAUAAAUCAUAGAAAUUAUAGACCUCUCCAAGUUGAGGUCUAUAAAUUAAAUCUUACAUUUUUGAGUUGAUUAUGUUGUUGAUAGGACUACAUAGUAUGAAAUAUUUUAGUAAUAGUUAUCUUCCCAAUUACCUUUAGAUUUUAACCUAAUACUAAAACAUUUGGGUAUUGCCAUUAUAAAUUAUCAUAAAAAAUCAUUUGCUGCUAAUAAUGUAUUUGCACAGUGCUUAUUUGGUAUUUAAGAAAUAUUUACUUUAAUUGAUUGAUCUUUAUGAAUCAGAUAUCCUUUACAGAUGAGGAAACUGAGCUUUGAAAAGCCCUUGUGAUUUACUCAAAGUCAUAGACAAAGUCAGACAAAGGACUCAUAACCUGGAAUUAUGCUUAAAAUCUAGAUACUUCGAUCAAGUAUCUCAUUGCAUGAAUUAGCAUUAAUGACUUCUUUAUUUAUUUUGGACCCUAUUGAUGCUUGGAAGUCUAAGAAGAGUAAUACCGAUAGAUACAUAUGUACCAAUACCUAAAAGAAACACUAAUAGCAAUAAUAAUAAUAAUAAUAGAGGGAGUAGAAAUGUAAAACAAUGAAAAAGUAAAAAAUAUAAAUGACUAUAUGCAAUCAGAGUUUGUACUAUCAUGAACUAUAAGAACAAAUAAAUUAUAUUUAAUGCAUUAGUUGAAUUUAAUGCAACAAGUAGUCAUUUUCAAAAUAUCUAUUUUAAUUUAGGCAAAUUUUGGUGUCUGUAGCUGCUCAAAAUAGUUUCAACAUAAAGUUCUAGACCUCAAAACUGUGAUCUCUGGUGUUGUGCUCAACCGUGAAUGCCACCUUUGUAGGAAUUGUUCUGUGAUUUUAAAUAGGAUAUAGUUACAAGCAAAAUGUAAAUAA